AGGACGAACGCUGGCGGCGUGCUUAACACAUGCAAGUCGAACGAGGUGCUUGCACCUAGUGGCGAACGGGUGAGUAACACGUGAGCAACCUGCCCUUGGCUCUGGGAUAGCCUCCGGAAACGGGGAUUAAUACCGGACAUGACCUUCUUCCGCAUGGUUGAAGGUGGAAAGUUUUUCGGCCAGGGAGGGGCUCGCGGCCUAUCAGCUUGUUGGAGGGGUAACGGCCCACCAAGGCGACGACGGGUAGCCGGCCUGAGAGGGCGACCGGCCACACUGGGACUGAGACACGGCCCAGACUCCUACGGGAGGCAGCAGUGGGGAAUAUGCGCAAUGGGGGAAACCCUGACGCAGCGACGCCGCGUGCGGGAUGAAGGCCUUCGGGUUGUAAACCGCUUUCACCAGGGACGAAGCGAGAGUGACGGUACCUGGGGAAGAAGCGCCGGCUAACUACGCGCCAGCAGCCGC
rnacentral:rRNA from 1 species